CUCUCUCUCUCUCUCUCAAAAUAAAUAAAUAAACAUUAAAAAAAGAAUCAAAUAGAGUCUUUUAUCCCUCAUCCAGCUAGAGAAGUCCUCUCAUAUCUUUGCUUAGUAUGGAAUCAGGACAAUUUAAAUAAUUGUUACCCUGGAUGUGGUCUAAGGAUUACACAUAAGAAUCCUGUGUGCUUGUUUAAAAUAAAUACUCCUGGGCCUCUCCCUCUGUGGAAAAAAAAAAAAGCCUAUGAAUAUGAAUGUUUUAUAAA